rnacentral:rRNA from 1 species
GAUGAACGCUGGCGGCGUGCUUAACACAUGCAAGUCGAACGAAGCACUUAAAACGGAAUUCUUCGGAAGGAAGUAUUAAGUGACUUAGUGGCGGACGGGUGAGUAACGCGUGAGUAACCUGCCUUACACAGGGGGACAACAGUUAGAAAUGACUGCUAAUACCGCAUAAGCAUACGGUGCCGCAUGGCACAGUGUGAAAAGAAUUUAUCGGUGUAAGAUGGACUCGCGUCUGAUUAGCUUGCUGGCGGGGUAACGGCCCACCAAGGCGACGAUCAGUAGCCGACUUGAGAGAGUGAUCGGCCACAUUGGGACUGAGACACGGCCCAA